rnacentral:rRNA from 1 species
GAUGAACGCUGACAGAAUGCUUAACACAUGCAAGUCGAUGGGGAAGUGGUUCUUGCACCAUGGUAACCAUGGCGGACGGGUGAGUAACGCGUAAGGAACUCGCCUGCGGGACUGGGAUAACAGCAGGAAACUGCUGAUAAUACCGGAUAAGGUCAUUAAGCUGCAUAGCUUAGCGAUGAAAGGAGACGCCUGCGGAGAGCCUUUCGUCCUAUUAGCUAGUUGGAGGGGUAACGGCCCACCAAGGCGAAGAUAGGUAGCCGGCCGGAGAGGAGGGACGGCCAAGAGGGGAAUGAGAGACAGCACUUGGUACUACGGGAGGAAGCAGUGAGGAAUAUUGGAGAAAGAGCGCAAGCGUGAUGCAGGAAUUCUGUGUGCAAAAAGACGGUUUUCGGAUUGAAAAGUGCUUUCAGCAGGGAAGAGGGAAGUGACGGUACCUGAAGAAGAAGCGACGGCUAAAUACGUG